GGGGGCUAAGGACAGUCCUGGGGACUAAGGACAGUGCUGGGGGCCAGGAAUGGGUCCUGGGGACUAAGGACAGGUCCUGGGGGCCAGGAAUGGGUCCUAAGGACUAAUGGCAGGUCCUGGGAGCUAAGGGCAGGUGCUGGGGGCUAAGGACAGGUCCUGGGGACAAAGCACAGGUCCUGGGGGCCAGGAAUGGGUCCUAGGGACUAAGGACAGGUCCUGGGGGCUAAGGACAGGUGCUGGGUGCCAGGAUUGGAUCCUGGGGACUAAGGACAGGUCCUGGGGGCCAGGAAUGGGUCCUAAGGACUAAUGGCAGGUCCUGGGGGCUAAGGGCAGGUGCUGGGGGCUAAGGACAGGUCCUGGGGGC